rnacentral:rRNA from 1 species
AGUGAACGCUGGCGGUAGACCUAACACAUGCAAGUCGAACGGCAGCACAGUAAGAGCUUGCUCUUACGGGUGGCGAGUGGCGGACGGGUGAGGAAUACAUCGGAAUCUACUUUUUCGUGGGGGAUAACGUAGGGAAACUUACGCUAAUACCGCAUACGACCUACGGGUGAAAGCAGGGGAUCUUCGGACCUUGCGCGAUUGAAUGAGCCGAUGUCGGAUUAGCUAGUUGGCGGGGUAAAGGCCCACCAAGGCGACGAUCCGUAGCUGGUCUGAGAGGAUGAUCAGCCACACUGGAACUGAGACACGGUCCAGACUCCUACGGGAGGCAGCAGUGGGGAAUAUUGGACAAUGGGCGCAAGCCUGAUCCAGCCAUACCGCGUGGGUGAAGAAGGCCUUCGGGUUGUAAAGCCCUUUUGUUGGAAAAGAAAAGCAGCAGGUUAAUACCCCGCUGUUCUGACGGUACCCAAAGAAUAAGCACCGGCUAACUUCGUG